rnacentral:rRNA from 1 species
GGUCUGUGAUGCCCUUAGAUGUCCGGGGCCGCACGCGCGCUACACUGACGCCUCCAGCGAGCGCGCCGGCCCGGUCCGAAGGGAUCGGGGAACCCCGUGAACGGACGUCGUGAUGGGGACAGGGGAUUGUAAUUGUUCCCCUCGAACGAGGAAUUCCAAGUAAGCGCGAGUCACCAGCUCGCUUUGAUUACGUCCCUGCCCUUUGUACACACCGCCCGUCGCUACUACCGAUCGAACGUUGAGGUGAGGUCGUCGGACCGGUGCCCUUCCGGGAGGGAGCAAUCCCGAUCGGGGGCUUCCGGAAAGUCGGUCGAACCCUAUCGUUUAGAGGGAGUAAAAGUCGUAACAAGGUUUCC